GAUGAACGCUAGCGGCAGGCUUAAUACAUGCAAGUCGUGGGGCAGCGGGGUAGCAAUACCGCCGGCGACCGGCAAACGGGUGCGGAACACGUACACAACCUUCCUUUAAGCGGGGCAUAGCCCAGGGAAACUUGGAUUAAUACCCCAUAGUAUAUUGGAGAAGCAUUUUUCUGGUAUAAAGAUUUAUCACUUGAAGAUGGGUGUGCGGCUGAUUAGGUAGUUGGCGGGGUAACGGCCCACCAAGCCUACGAUCAGUAGCUGAUGUGAGAGCAUGAUCAGCACACGGGCACUGAGACACGGGCCCGACUCCUACGGGAGGCAGCAGUAAGGAAUAUUGGACAAUGGGCGGAAGCCUGAUCCAGCCAUGCCGCGUGAAGGAUUAAGGUCCUCUGGAUUGUAAACUUCUUUUAUAUGGGACGAAAAAAGGGAAUUCUUUCUCACUUGACGGUACCAUAUGAAUAAGCACCGGCUAACUCCGUGCCAGCCGCCGCGGUAAUAC
rnacentral:rRNA from 1 species